GCGUCGCAAGCUCCACACCCAACCAAACCCGGGCAGAGGGCUCGGUGGGCGCGAGGCCGAGGGCCCAAGAGGCCGGGGCCGCUACCCCCUCGCCCCUGGGACGGCCUCCGGGUCUCCUUGCUCCAGCAGACAGGCCCGCGGCGGCUACUCCGAGGCGCAGGGGCAAGGCCGCAGCGGGCAGCGGAGGCCGAAACAGAGAACACACACAACGCGGACCGACAGCAGUCACCGCAGGGGUCGCCGGGGCGCGGCUCUAUAAAGCCUCGGCUCUAUAAAGCCGCGCUAAGCCGCAUCGCGCUGCACGUUUCCUUCCGCGCGGGGCCGGCGCUACUUCCCGCCUUACCAGGCCGCCGUGCCGGGAGGAGCUGAGACGUCUGCAAGGCCGCAACAUCUCGCAGCAGCUUUUCGCCUGCUUCCUCCGCUCGCUCUAGAGGGCACAGCAAGAACAAGUGGAGAAACUAACAACC
rnacentral:lncRNA from 1 species